GUAUAGUAUGGAGGGGAGAGGGGUAUUAAGCUGAAAAGAGAUUAAACUUGGCUUGGUUGGUUCUCCAUCACAAUGGUGCUUAACCAUAUUUUCCAAACUAAAAAUCAGGACGCAUGAUUGGACAGUGAAAUUUAUGCACAGACUUAUUGUAUAGAACAAAUGUUAUUUUCUCAAAAUCAGUCCUGUUCCAGUAAAUCUGGGCUAGAUGGCGACUGUGGGGUGGACUAUAUGACAGCCAACACAAUCAGAAGACCUGGUUCAAGUUCCCCUUCUGACACACCAAGGGCAAGUUCCUUACCCUCUCAAGGUUCCAAUGCAGAGCCACACUGGGAGAUGGAUUUCCUCAGUGGAAGUCCUCUAGACCACUGUGACAUCAGAGGUCCAGUACCUUCUCUAGCAACAACAACAACAAAAUGGAGACUAGUACCUGGGUUGGAUGAAACUAAAAUUCAGGAGUACCGUAUUACUUGCUCAGGAUCACACAGUUUGUUCCUGAAUUGAAGAAUACAGGACGACAAUCAAGAUCGACAGCAGACAAGAGUGGCAUGCUGACCAGAUGACCAGAGUUUCUCCAAUCAACAUCAAAGGACAUGGAAGGACUUUGAAAGUUUGGACUUGUGAUCCUGAGGUUAUGUAAGAAUGCGACAUACAUAUUAACAUCACAUAUAUAUAUAUAUAUAUAUAUAUACACAUUCUACAAAGGAAGAUAUCUCAUGGAAUGGAAUUAAAUUUGACUACUUCCCUACUGAGGAACCUCUUUCUUCUUUCAAAGUGGAUGGCAGUGAGGGGAGAGGAACCAUCAAAGGGAUAUUCAAUUCUGGAUCUAAUUCUCACCAGAAAAGGAAGCACUGAACAAACUGUCUCGGGCUAUCCUUGCGAAAAAGAUGGAGAGAUGCCAAUGGGAUCACAAUGCAAAGAAGUAGAGUCAGCAUGGGCUGCAUGGCAGGACCCAAACAUUAAUCACGAAUAUUCAAUGCCACCUUGGAGAGAGAUCUUCCAUGCAGGGGAAUCUUUCUCAGUGCUGAGUGAACUUCAAAGAACACACCAUCAAGCAAAUGAUUUCAUGUGGGUCUGCUUUCCUCCUUGUCACAUUUCAGCCAGGACAGCUCAUAGCCAGAACUUGGAGCACUCAAGCAAAAGUCAAAUAGAAAACUGGAUUGUCAUCAAGCAAUGA
rnacentral:lncRNA from 1 species